rnacentral:sRNA from 1 species
GGCCGGUGUAGGGAGCUGGGCUCCCCGCGGGCUGCAAACCCGUUGGGCGGCGAAGCGAAGUAGCCGCUGCUGGGUUCGAUUCCCAGACCGGCCU